rnacentral:ribozyme from 1 species
AGAAGAUGAACAAGAGUGAAAAGAAAAGAAGUGAGAAAAGGAAAAGGAAAAAGUAAAAAAACAAAAGUUGCUUUUCUUUUCUUUCCUUCAAGUUUUCUUUCCUUUUACUUUUCUUUUUCCCUUUUCCCUCUCUC